rnacentral:rRNA from 1 species
AACGCGAAGAACCUUACCAGUCCUUGACAUGUCCACUAUGGGUUUGAGAGAUCAGAUCCUUCACUUCGGGUGGGUGGAACACAGGUGCUGCAUGGCUGUCGUCAGCUCGUGUCGUGAGAUGUUGGGUUAAGUCCCGCAACGAGCGCAACCCUUACCCCCAGUUGCCAUCAUUUAGUUGGGCACUCUGGUGGAACCGCCUCGGAUAACGGGGAGGAAGGUGGGGAUGACGUCAAGUCCUCAUGGCCUUUAUGUCCAGGGCUACACACGUGCUACAAUGGCCGGUACAAACCGUCGCAAACCCGCGAGGGGGAGCUAAUCGGAGAAAGCCGGCCUCAGUUCGGAUUGCAGUCUGCAACUCGACUGCAUGAAGCUGGAAUCGCUAGUAAUCGCGGAUCAGAACGCCGCGGUGAAUACGUUCCCGGGCCUUGUACACACCGACGCGUA